rnacentral:rRNA from 1 species
UACGAAGGGGGCUAGCGUUGCUCGGAAUCACUGGGCGUAAAGGGUGCGUAGGCGGGUCUUUAAGUCAGGGGUGAAAUCCUGGAGCUCAACUCCAGAACUGCCUUUGAUACUGAGGAUCUUGAGUUCGGGAGAGGUGAGUGGAACUGCGAGUGUAGAGGUGAAAUUCGUAGAUAUUGGGAAGAACACCAGUGGCGAAGGCGGCUCACUGGCUCGUAACUGACGCUCAUGCACGACAGCGUGGGGAUCAAACAGG